AAAGAAAAAAAAUUCUUUGAUGUAUUGGCUUUCACAAGGAGCACGUGUUUGAAUGUUUUUUCCGAUUCAGUUUCAUAUUUGUUCGCUUUAUGGUCUAGGGAAGAAAUUCCAGACGAGGACCAUAAAUGGCGAUAUGAAUCUCAUCAUAUUUUAUUUGAUUUAGAUAAAGUAGUCGUACAACUGACCUGUUGAUGUUGAUGGAGUGAGAUUGUCUCUCGUCGAGAAGAACAAGCAAAAAAAAGAACAAGUUUUUACAUUAAAAGCACGAUGGCAAUCAGCAACAGCGGCAACUGUUUAGCAACGUGCCAAUGAUAGACGACGGGGCUAAUGGACGUCGGCUAAAAAUGAUGAUGGCUGCUCUUCGGUUGACGCCAUUUUUCAUUAAAAAAAAGGUGGUAGUAAUAGUAGGGAAAGCCAAAGAUUAUUCACCUGAAUCUCUCACCUAAGAAGCGACACGUCAUUUAAAAAAUCCUUCUCACGAAUCGACGCUCUCUUAUUUUCUGAAGUUCGUUUCUCGCGUUCUACCCCAGAAAAGGCGAACGAAGGAGGAAAAACAAAUUUGGAUGGUGUUUAAAUAGACGCAGAGGUGGAGUGUGCGUGGAUUGUACAGUAAAUAUGGACACGGAAUAAACACGUACACAAAGGAAAAAAAAAAGUCGAAUCAGAUAACGCCGUCUUCUCGAUCGUGUCACGUGGAAACAAGGUGUCGUCGAACGCUGUUCAACCUAAAUGGAAAUGUCGGGCUUUUCUAGUUCGGUACAUUCUAGUCCCGAAUAAUGACGUCAUUCGCAAAACGUUGCUUCCUUUAAAAGGAAUACAAAAGACCUGGUCGACCCCCAAGCGAAUGGUGAAUCAAGCGACGUUUUUCGGUUGGGGUUGCGUUCACGGUUGAGUCAGCAAAGGCCAAAAAGGUGGCUCACGCGGUUGCUGUCAGACGCGUGAAUUGUUGCGGUUUUCACCAGCAGCAGCGUCUGCUCCCAUGUUGUUGUUGCAGAAACGGCGCAGUCAAUGCGUGUCAAGGCCAACACGCACAAGAAAUAUCGAAUAUUAAAUUUUCGUGUGAAAAUUCGUGCUGCCAGAAAUCAAAAAAC